AAAAUCUCCUUGGUUGGCAUGAAAUAGCCUCUCCAAUAUGUCUAAUUGACUUAUCUGAUCUUCUAUCACUCUUUUCAGCUCCUCAGAAACUCUGCUCCAGGCAGAUGAGGCUAAUUUUUGUCCUUCAGCUCCACCUGCACCAAUCACCUCCAAAUUCCUGCUCAUAUAGUACCCUCUGCGUAGAUGCCUUUCUUCUUCAUGCUCGAGUCCCUUAUUUUCAUGGAGCCUUUCCUGUCUGCUCACACAGAUUGUGUGCUUCUGUGUGACAAGAGUGGUCGAUUCCGAUUGAUUUGUCCAGAAUUGAACUCCUUGUUUUCCUCAUCGCAUGGCCCCCACUGGAGGACUGAGGUCUCCACCACCUUGGAGGAAAUCAAGACGCAGA
rnacentral:lncRNA from 1 species